CGCGUAGGUGGGAUAGUAAGUCUGCUUUAAAAGUGCGGGGCUCAACCCCGUGAUGGGGUAGAAACUGCUAUUCUUGAGUGCAGGAGAGGAAAGCGGAAUUCCCAGUGUAGCGGUGAAAUGCGUAGAUAUUGGGAGGAACACCAGUGGCGAAGGCGGCUUUCUGGACUGUGUCUGACACUGAGGCGCGAAAGCUAGGGGAGCGAACGGGAUUAGAUACCCCGGUAGUCCUAGCCGUAAACGAUGGGUACUAGGUGUAGGGGGUAUCGACCCCUCCUGUGCCGGAGUUAACGCAAUAAGUACCCCGCCUGGGGAGUACGGCCGCAAGGUUGAA
rnacentral:rRNA from 1 species